CCUAUGGGUGGCAGCAGUGGGGAAUAUUUGGCAAUGGGCGCAAGCCUGACCCAGCAACGCCGCGUGAAUGAAGAAGGCUUUCGGGUUGUAAACUUCUUUUCUCAGGGACGAAGAAAGUGACGGUACCCGAGGCAUAAGCCGCGGCUAACUACGUGCCAGCAGCCGCGGUAAUACGUAGGUGGCAAGCGUUAUCCGGAUUUACUGGGUGUAAAGGGCGUGUAGGCGGGACUGUAAGUCAGAUGUGAAAACCACGGGCUCAACCUGUGGCCUGCAUUUGAAACUGUAGUUCUUGAGUACUGGAGAGGCAGACGGAAUUCCUAGUGUAGCGGUGAAAUGCGUAGAUAUUAGGAGGAACACCAGUGGCGAAGGCGGUCUGCUGGACAGCAACUGACGCUGAGGCGCGAAAGCGUGGGGAGCAAACAGGAUUAGAUACCCGAGUAGUC
rnacentral:rRNA from 1 species